rnacentral:rRNA from 1 species
UUCCGUAGGGGAACCUGCGGAAGGAUCAUUAC